rnacentral:rRNA from 1 species
GGACUACAGGGGUAUCUAAUCCUGUUCGCUCCCCACGCUUUCGCGCCUCAGUGUCAGUUACAGACCAGAAAGUCGCCUUCGCCACUGGUGUUCCUCCACAUCUCUACGCAUUUCACCGCUACACGUGGAAUUCCACUUUCCUCUUCUGCACUCAAGUUCCCCAGUUUCCAAUGACCCUCCACGGUUGAGCCGUGGGCUUUCACAUCAGACUUAAGGAACCACCUGCGCGCGCUUUACGCCCAAUAAUUCCGGACAACGCUUGCCACCUACGUAUUACCGCGGCUGCUGGCAC